rnacentral:lncRNA from 1 species
GCCGCCCCGUGUCCUGAAUGGAGCUUGGGGACCUUCCCCCUCGAGGCCGCCUCAGGCCGCCGCCUUCUCUAAAUUUCGACCUUAAAAAUAGGACAGUUGUACCCGCCCACCCAGAGAAGGAGCUGUGUGAGGUCCCCAGUCCCCAGACUGAGGCAGACUGACGCCCAUUAGCACCCUCUCCCUCUGCCCUCUCCGUCUCUCUGUCUCUGUCUCUGUCUGUCUCUGUCUCUCCAUCUCUCUAUCUCUCCAUUUGUCUCAGUUUGUCUCUCUUUUCUCUGUUUCCAUCUCUCUCUCCCUCUCUCUAUCUCUCUCUCCGUCUCUCUCCCCCUGUCUCUCUCCAUUUCUCUCUCCCUCUCUCUCUGUCUCUCUGUUUCUCCAUCUCUCUCUGUGUCUCUCUCCCUCUCUCUGUCCCUCUGCAUUUCUCUCUCCCUCUCUACCCCUGUCUCUCUGUGUCUCUGUCUCCCUUUCUCCCUGCCUCAUCCUCUCUGUCUCUCCCUCUCUCUGUCUCUGUCUCUCCCUCUCUCUCUGUGUCUCUCUCUCCUCCUCUCUGUCUCUCCUUCUCUCUGUCUCUGUCUCUCCCCCUCUCUGUCUCUCUCUCUGUGUCUCUCUCCCCUUCUCUGUCUCUGUCUCUCCCCCUCUCUGUCUCUCCCCCUCUCUGUCUCUCCCUCUCUCUGUCUCUCUCUGUGUCUCUCUCUCCCCUCUCUGUCUCUCCCUCUCUGUCUCUCUCUGUGUUUCUCUGUGUCUCUCUCCCCCUCCCUCUCUCUGUGUCCCUCUAUCCCUCUCUCUCUCUCUCUGUGUCUCUCUCCUUCUGUCUCUCCUCCUCUCUGUCUCUCCUCCUCUCUGUCUCUCCCUCUCUCUCUCUGUGUCUCUCUCUCCACUCUGUCUCUCCUUCUCUCUGUCUCUCCCUCUCUCUGUCUCUGUCUCUCCCCCUCUCUGUCUCUCCCUCUCUGUCUCUCUCUGUGUCUCUCUCCCCCCUCUCUGUCUCUCCCUCUCUGUCUCUUUCUGUUCUGUGUUCCUCUGUGUCUCUCUCCCCCUCCCUCUCUCUGUGUCUCUCUCUCUGUGUCUCUCUCUCUCUGUGUCUCUCUCCUUCUGUCUCUCCUCCUGUCUCUCCCUCUGUCUCUCCCUCUCUGUCUCUCUCUGUGUUCCUCUGUGUCUCUCUCCCCCUCCCUCUCUCUGUGUCUCUCUCUCUGUGUCUCUCUCCUUCUGUCUCUCCUCCUGUCUCUCCCUCUGUCUCUCCUCCUCUCUGUCUCUCCCUCUCUCUCUCUGUGUCUCUCUCUUCCUCUCUGUCUCUCCUUCUCUCUGUCUCUUUCUCUAUCCUCUCUGUCUCUCUCUCUCUCUGUGUCUCUCUCUCUGUGUCUCUCCCCUCUGUCUCUCCCUCUCUGUCUCUGUCUCUCUGUGUCUCUGUCUCUUGCGCACACCCACACACACGCAGCUCACAGAGCCUCCACAU